rnacentral:rRNA from 1 species
UUAAGCGACUAAGCGUACACGGUGGAUGCCCUGGCAGUCAGAGGCGAUGAAGGACGUGCUAAUCUGCGAAAAGCGUCGGUAAGGUGAUAUGAACCGUUACAGCCGGCGAUGUCCGAAUGGGGAAACCCAGUGCAAUUCGUUGCACUAUCGUUAACUGAAUACAUAGGUUAACGAGGCGAACCGGGGGAACUGAAACAUCUAAGUACCCCGAGGAAAAGAAAUCAACCGAGAUUCCCCCAGUAGCGGCGAGCGAACGGGGAGCAGCCCAGAGUCUGAAUCAGCUUGUGUGUUAGUGGAACGGUCUGGAAAGUCCGACGGUACAGGGUGAUAGUCCCGUACACCAAAAUGCACAGGUUGUGAACUCGAAGAGUAGGGCGGGACACGUGGUAUCCUGUCUGAAUAUGGGGGGACCAUCCUCCAAGGCUAAAUACUCCUGACUGACCGAUAGUGAACCAGUACCGUGAGGGAAAGGCGAAAAGAACCCCGGCGAGGGGAGUGAAAAAGAACCUGAAACCGUGUACGUACAAGCAGUGGGAGCACCUUCGGGUGUGACUGCGUACCUUUUGUAUAAUGGGUCAGCGACUUAUAUUCUGUAGCAAGGUUAACCGUAUAGGGGAGCCGCAGGGAAACCGAGUCUUAACUGGGCGUUAAGUUGCAGGGUAUAGACCCGAAACCCGGUGAUCUAGCCAUGGGCAGGUUGAAGGUUGGGUAACACUAACUGGAGGACCGAACCGACUAAUGUUGAAAAAUUAGCGGAUGACUUGUGGCUGGGGGUGAAAGGCCAAUCAAACCGGGAGAUAGCUGGUUCUCCCCGAAAGCUAUUUAGGUAGCGCCUCGUGAAUUCAUCUUCGGGGGUAGAGCACUGUUUCGGCUAGGGGGUCAUCCCGACUUACCAACCCGAUGCAAACUACGAAUACCGAAGAAUGUUAUCACGGGAGACACACGGCGGGUGCUAACGUCCGUCGUGAAGAGGGAAACAACCCAGACCGCCAGCUAAGGUCCCAAAGUCAUGGUUAAGUGGGAAACGAUGUGGGAAGGCACAGACAGCCAGGAUGUUGGCUUAGAAGCAGCCAUCAUUUAAAGAAAGCGUAAUAGCUCACUGGUCGAGUCGGCCUGCGCGGAAGAUGUAACGGGGCUAAACCAUGCACCGAAGCUGCGGCAGCGACACUAUGUGUUGUUGGGUAGGGGAGCGUUCUGUAAGCCUGCGAAGGUGUGCUGUGAGGCAUGCUGGAGGUAUCAGAAGUGCGAAUGCUGACAUAAGUAACGAUAAAGCGGGUGAAAAGCCCGCUCGCCGGAAGACCAAGGGUUCCUGUCCAACGUUAAUCGGGGCAGGGUGAGUCGACCCCUAAGGCGAGGCCGAAAGGCGUAGUCGAUGGGAAACAGGUUAAUAUUCCUGUACUUGGUGUUACUGCGAAGGGGGGACGGAGAAGGCUAUGUUAGCCGGGCGACGGUUGUCCCGGUUUAAGCAUGUAGGCUGAUUGUCCAGGCAAAUCCGGAUAAUCAAGGCUGAGGUGUGAUGACGAGGCACUACGGUGCUGAAGUAACAAAUGCCCUGCUUCCAGGAAAAGCCUCUAAGCAUCAGGUAACAUCAAAUCGUACCCCAAACCGACACAGGUGGUCAGGUAGAGAAUACCAAGGCGCUUGAGAGAACUCGGGUGAAGGAACUAGGCAAAAUGGUGCCGUAACUUCGGGAGAAGGCACGCUGGUGUGUAGGUGAAGUCCCUGCGGAUGGAGCUGAGACCAGUCGAAGAUACCAGCUGGCUGCAACUGUUUAUUAAAAACACAGCACUGUGCAAACACGAAAGUGGACGUAUACGGUGUGACGCCUGCCCGGUGCCGGAAGGUUAAUUGAUGGGGUUAUCCGUAAGGAGAAGCUCUUGAUCGAAGCCCCGGUAAACGGCGGCCGUAACUAUAACGGUCCUAAGGUAGCGAAAUUCCUUGUCGGGUAAGUUCCGACCUGCACGAAUGGCGUAAUGAUGGCCAGGCUGUCUCCACCCGAGACUCAGUGAAAUUGAACUCGCUGUGAAGAUGCAGUGUACCCGCGGCAAGACGGAAAGACCCCGUGAACCUUUACUAUAGCUUGACACUGAACAUUGAGCCUUGAUGUGUAGGAUAGGUGGGAGGCUUUGAAGCGUGGACGCCAGUCUGCGUGGAGCCAACCUUGAAAUACCACCCUUUAAUGUUUGAUGUUCUAACGUUGGCCCCU